rnacentral:ncRNA from 2 species
UAGAGGUAUAUGCGUCAAGUGUCAACUGGUUAGUGGAUGAUUAGUUGAACGAACAUAAGUAUUUAUGGCGGUGUAUAUUUCUGAUCCG